rnacentral:rRNA from 1 species
CCCUUAGAUGUUCUGGGCCGCACGCGCGCUACACUGACGAUGGCAACGAGUUUUUCCUUCGCCGAAAGGUGUGGGUAAUCUUUUGAAACAUCGUCGUGCUGGGGAUAGAUCAUUGCAAUUUUUGAUCUUGAACGAGGAAUUCCUAGUAAGCGCGAGUCAUCAGCUCGCGUUGAUUACGUCCCUGCCCUUUGUACACACCGCCCGUCGCUACUACCGAUUGAAUGGUUUAGUGAGGACUCCUGAUUGGCGCCGCCGCCCCGGCAACGGAGCAGCGGACUGCCGAAAAGUUGUGCAAACUUGAUCAUUUAGAGGAAGUAAAAGUCGUAACA